GACGAACGCUGGCGGCGUGCUUAACACAUGCAAGUCGUACGGUAAGGCCCUUUCGGGGGUACACUAGUGGCGAACGGGUACGUAACACGUGAGUAACCUGCCCCCAACUUUGGGAUAACGCUAGGAAACUGGUGCUAAUACUGGAUAUGUGCUCCUGCUGCAUGGUGGGGGUUGGAAAGCUCCGGCGGUUGUGGAUGGACUCGCGGCCUAUCAGCUUGUUGGUGGGGUAGUGGCGUACCAAGGCGGCGACGGGUAGCCGGCCUGAGAGGGUGACCGGCCACAUUGGGACUGAGAGACGGCCCAGACUCCGACGGGAGGCAGCAGUGGGGAAUAUUGCACAAUGGGCGCAAGCCUGAUGCAGCAGCGCCGCGGGCGGGAUGACGGCCUUCGGGUUGUAAACCGCUUUCAGCAGGGACGAAGCUUUUUGUGACGGUACCUGCAGAAGAAGCACCGGCUAACUACGUG
rnacentral:rRNA from 1 species